GGUAGCGUGGCCGAGCGGUCUAAGGCGCUGGUUUUAAGGCACCAGUCUCUUCGAGGAGGCGUGGGUUCGAAUCCCACCGCUGCCA
rnacentral:tRNA from 1 species